UUCCUGAUUUCUAAUAAUCAACUGCUAUAGGAUGUUGGGGCUCAGAAAACAAAACCCCAGAGUGAAGGGUUUGACAAAAGGGUCAAAGUGCAAGUCUUGUCCAGGAGGAAGUAGAUAAUUCUGUGUAAUGAGAGAAUAAAAUAGGAGUAAGGAGUUGCAGGAGACCUGGACUGGGCAUUCCUAUUGAAGGAAGAUUAUGAAUAUUGUUCGUGCCAAGCCAAGAACUAAAGACUUUCUGUUAUAAGCCUAUAGAGAUUAAGAAUUUAAUUAAGAAGCAGCAGAACUUGUAGUUGGCACAACCCCCAGCAAACAUGGUAGAAAAAAACACCACUGAGCAGGAAAGCCAACUGCAACCAGCAACCAUCCCCAAAAAUGCAGUAUAAAAGAAACCUGGAGAGAAAAAUCUGGCACACUGGAGAGACCACUCAACCCUCAGGGGGAAUGCACAAAAAGUAACAGGCAAAUGCAGCUGAUAUGCAACAUGGGAAGAUAAACAUGAGCUUUCCCAUACACCUCUGGCAACUAUGCAAUUAUCUCAGGCUCCAUUGCUACUCAGGGUAUGAUCCAUGCGGGUUCUUCAAGACAUGCUCAGCUACUAAAACCUAUCAGUCUGCAGACUGUUUCCAAGAAGAUAUUUUAC
rnacentral:lncRNA from 1 species